CCGGCUUGUUAUAAAAAAAAAAAAAAACACAAUUGCGGAAGUAAGCGUAGCAAAGCAUCGCUGACGGCGCAAAAAUCAUUUAAAUGGAGUAAGGAACAAACGGAGGAUGGAAGCCACAGCAGCAAGUUGGCCCUGGUUUUACUCAAAAUGGUUGAGGCGUUAGGACAGUCUGCACCAGUGGGACUGUCCCGAUCCAAGAGGACAAACCAGGGCCAGGCGCUGCACUGGCAUCACCAGAAGGGUGAGACGAGGGACAGAGAGAAAGCAAAAGACAAGAGAGCAGGGAGACAGAGGCCAAAGAGAGAUGUUAUAUUGAAUAGAUUGGCGUUUAAAAAAAAAAAAAAAAA